GGUCCAAUAGUGUAGAGGUUAUCACACGGGAUUCUGAGCUGAACUAGCUCUACUUUCCCGUGACCCAGGUUCGAGUCCUGGUUGGACCU